rnacentral:lncRNA from 1 species
UUUCAAAGUGGGUUGGUCCAAUUAAUUUACCGAGUUUAAUUGGACUGCAAGAGAGGGUUGCUGGCUGCUAUAUCUAUAUAUUCACUCUUAUACACGCCAACCGGGAGGAGGAGGAGGAGAAAAUACAAAUAAGGCUGCUGGAAUUGAAUAGGUACACAUACAAUUGAGUGGCUUUGGCAGAUUUUUAUAUUUAUACAACACAGAGAAAGAGGACGGCAAUUGCAGAAGGAGAAAAGGGGAGAAACCAAGAGCCAACUGGAGAAAAAAAAAAGGAAUUGCGGCUGGGGGAGAGAGAACAAAGGCUGACUUGCUGUUAGUUAAUAUAUAUAUAUAUAUAUAUAUAUAUAAUACAAAUAACAUUGGGCAGCAAUUUGGAGAGAAAAAGGGCAGAGAGUCUGCUGGGAAAUUGAGGGACAAAACGACCAAAAAAAGGGGCUGUUAGUUGGUUGAAAAUAUACAUACAUUGAGGUUGCUUGGGCUGAUUUUGGGAUAUAUACGAACCCACGUUGGCCAGCUUCUUGGAGAAAUCAACACACGCGCAACAGUGGAGAAAUUUGUGGAAUUAAUCAUGUUCGCUCAAUUACUUGGUGAUGUCUUUUCAGUUUGUUUAUUUAAUUUCACCAUUAUGCUAGGCUAAGUUUUCUCAUGUAUUGAAUGAAGAUGAAACCCGUUAUUAUUUGUUUUUAAUUCAAGACACGUGGUUUAGUUUAAUUCUUGUAAUUCUUGAUUAAUCUUGCAUACUUAA